rnacentral:rRNA from 1 species
UGGGCGCAAGCCUGAUGCAGCCAUGCCGCGUGUAUGAAGAAGCCUUCGGGUUGUAAAGUACUUUCAGCAGUGAGGAAGGUGGGUAUGUUAAUAGCAUAUUCAUUUGACGUUAGCUGCAGAAGAAGCACCGGCUAAUUCCGUGCCAGCAGCCGCGGUAAUACGGAGGGUGCGAGCGUUAAUCGGAAUUACUGGGCGUAAAGCGCAUGCAGGUGGUUUGUUAAGUCAGAUGUGAAAGCCCGGGGCUCAACCUCGGAAUUGCAUUUGAAACUGGCAAACUAGAGUACUGUAGAGGGGGGUAGAAUUUCAGGUGUAGCGGUGAAAUGCGUAGAGAUCUGAAGGAAUACCGGUGGCGAAGGCGGCCCCCUGGACAGAUACUGACACUCAGAUGCGAAAGCGUGGGGAGCAAACAGGAUUAGAUACCCUGGUAGUCCACGCCGUAAACGAUGUCUACUUGGAGGUUGUGGCCUUGAGCCGUGGCUUUCGGAGCUAACGCGUUAAGUAGACCGCCUGGGGAGUACGGUCGCAAGAUUAAAACUCAAAUGAAUUGACGGGGGCCCGCACAAGCGGUGGAGCAUGUGGUUUAAUUCGAUGCAACGCGAAGAACCUUACCUACUCUUGACAUCUACAGAAGCCAGCGGAGACGCAGGUGUGCCUUCGGGAACUGUAAGACAGGUGCUGCAUGGCUGUCGUCAGCUCGUGUUGUGAAAUGUUGGGUUAAGUCCCGCAACGAGCGCAACCCUUAUCCUUGUUUGCCAGCACUUCGGGUGGGAACUCCAGGGAGACUGCCGGUGAUAAACCGGAGGAAGGUGGGGACGACGUCAAGUCAUUAUGGCCCUUACGAGUAGGGCUACACACGUGCUACAAUGGCGCAUACAGAGGGCGGCCAACUUGCGAAAGUGAGCGAAUCCCAAAAAGUGCGUCGUAGUCCGGAUUGGAGUCUGCAACUCGACUCCAUGAAGUCGGAAUCGCUAGUAAUCGUGGAUCAGAAUGCCACGGUGAAUACGUUCCUGGGCCUUGUACACACCGCCCGUCACACCAUGGGAGUGGGCUGCAAAAGAAGUGGGUAGUUUAACCUUCGGGAGGACGCUCACCACUUUGUGGUUCAUGACUGGGGUGAAGUCGUAACAAGGUAACCG